UUGACUAACAAAGUUAUCAAGAUGGCUUGUCUUAGCAGUUGCUGGAUUUCUGUUCACCGUUUUUGUUCUUCCCUGUUCCAGAGGUUGAGGUCUUUUGCCCUGCGGCUUGGCCAGUCGCAGGGCGAGGGUGGGACUUGUACUGAGGUGACCGAGGCUAUGAGGGCACUACCUCCCGGUAGUGAUGAGGUCGUUGCUUUGGCUGUGACGGAGGAGCUGUCUACUGAGGUGACUCCCUUCGCUAGCCAGGACCCCGUCCGUCCUGUUGUAGAUGUUGCGGUAAUCCCAGAGGAUACGCCCGCCGCUGACGUCGAAGGCUGCAAGAAAGAGCAUCAUAAGGCAGUUAACUGAAUUCUGUUAUGAGCAGGAAAGGUACAUCAAAGAACAGUGGACAAGAUUUUAUUAUGAAGCCAAAAAAGGGACAUCAGAAUGCAGUGGACGAGAUUUUUUUAAGAAGGAAGAAAGAAUAUUAACAAUUCAGUGGACUGGAUUUAAUUAUGAAUCGAGGAAAGGAACAUCAAAGUGCAGUAAAUGGAAUUUUGUUAUGAAAUGCAAGGAAGGAACAUCAAAGUGCAAUGGACUGGAGACUACUGGGGAGAAGAUGUUGCUUCAAAAGAUUGCUUUUUGCUACAGGUGCAAAGCCCUGACAGAUUUCUUUACUAUUUAUUGAGACAUGCUAAAGUUACCUUCGAGGAAGAAACAUCAAAGUGCAAUCGGCUUGGAUUUUAUUGUGCAGUGGACAGACUGGAUUUUCUCAGAAUGAAAAGAGGAUAUUCUGAUGUUAAUGUGACCCAUAGAAGUCACUGUAUUCAUUUAUAGUGUUUAAAGUGAAGAAAUAACGUAAAAAUGUUAAUCAUUGGAAUUGAUACUUUUUGUGGGGGUGGGAAUCUCUGUCCUGUGUAUACCAUUUCUUCCCAUUCAUCCUAUCUUAUUUCAUCCUGACCCUGCCCAUCCCAUCCCUAAUUGGUUACCCAGAUAUGAUUGUACAAAUAAUAUAUAAUAUAACAUAUUUGAAUUAAAAUAUAGAUGUAGAGCAUGGCCCCAAAACAGAGAAAAGAUGUAUAUAAAUCAAUUUGAUAUGAAAUAUGUUGGUAUGAAAUCAUGUCUUGUUCAUCCAAUUGACACUUUCUAUAUUCACACUAUAUGAAGUGGUAAAAGUACACUUCUUUAUAAGCAAAUGUAUGUAUAUGAUAAAAAAAAGGUCGAAAACUUGAAUUUUUCGAGACAUUCAUAAUAUUAUUAUGGAUAGAGUCUAUUAUGUGAAGUGGAAUAAUUAUUAAAUCUGGAACCACGCUUGUACAGUUUUUUUCCGGAAGUUACACUCUCGUGAUAUUUUUAAAGGUAAUUAUGUUUUUCUCUUCCUUACAUAUUUGCUGAAUUACAAGAGUAAUUUAUAUUUCUUGUUGCCAUGCUUACAGUACUUAUACCAGUUUAUUUUCAUUCAGUUUGAGCUGCAAGGUGAAGCAGGAAAAUGAUGUCAAGUGUCAAUGCAAGCCAAAGAAGCAGUACUGGAUUUUCCCCAGAAAAGUAUGAAGAAUGUCUGUGAAAAAAGUGACUGUGUUCAGUUGUAGUGUUUAAAGUGAAGAAAGAACAAAAACGUUUAAGACAACAAAAGAAGACCAUCAAACUUAAAUAGAUUAUAUCACUUUAUAUGAAAGAGCAUUAUUAUGCAGUGAACUGGAAUUUAUUAUGAAGCAAGAAAGGGACAUCAAAGUGCAGUGGACAGGAUUUUAUUAUGAAUCAAAAAAUGAAUAUUAAAGUGCAGAGGACUGGAUUGAAUUAUGACACAAGAAAGGAACAUCGAAGUACAGUGAAUGGAAUUUUAUUAUGAAGAAAGGAAGAGACAUCAAAGUGCAAUGGAUUGGAGACUACUUGGGAGAAGAUGUUGCUUCAAAAUAUUGGCAGAGUUGCUUUUUGCUACAGGUGCAAAGCCCUGACAGAUUCCUUUACUAUUGAUUGAGACAUGCUAACGUUGCCUUCGAGGACAAUCCGGUGUCUAUAUGUCCGCUAGAUUGUGGCGUUUUUUGGAGCGACUGGUCUGCAACAUUGUGCCGGCAAUGUUAAGAUGAUGGUUGUUCCUCUGUGUUUUGAGAGAUGGAAUCGGGGAUUGUGAGGAUUUGCAUUUCUUCCAUAUCAACAGACUGCCAAUGACAACUGACUUUAUGUCCCGUUCAUAUGUACAGUCAGCGAUCGAUUUGACUUUAUUAUGAAGCAGUAGAGGAAUAUCAAAGUGCAAUUAACUGGAUUUAACACAAAGCAAGGAAGGAUUAUCAAAGUGUUGUGAAUUAAAUUGUUUCAGGACAGGAAGAAACAACAUCCAAUUCGUAUUGACUGGAUUUUCUCAGGAAGAAAAGAAAGAACAUGAGGAAGGAACAUAAAAGUCGAUUAAUUCAAUUUUAUAAUGGAGCAAGGAAGAAACAUUGAAGUGCAAUCAACUUGGAUUUUAUUUAAGUGCAGUGGACAGACUGGAUUUUCUCUGUUAAUGUGACCCAUAAAAGUGACUCUAUUCAUUUGUAGCAUUAAAAGUGAAAAAUUAAUUUUUCGGGAAUUUCAUAUUAUUUUGGAUAAAGUGUAUUAUCUGAAGUGGAAUAAUUAUUAAAUCUGGAACCACGCUUGUACAGCUGUUUUGGAAGUUGCACUCUCGCGUUAUUUUGAAAAAUAUGGAAUAAGAAUUGUUUAAAAGGUAAUAUUUUUCUGCUUGGUACAUAUAUGCAGAAUUACAGUAGUAAUUUAUAUUUCUUGUUGCCAUGCUUAUUUACAGUACUUAUACCAGUUCAUUUUUUCUUCAGUUUGAGCUGCAAGUUGAAGCAGGAAAAUGGUGCCAAGUGUCAAGGCAGGCCAAAGAAGCAGCACUGGAUUUUCCCCAGAAAAGUAUGAAGAAUGUGUGUGAAAAAAGUGACUGUGUUCAUUUGUAGUGUUUAAAGUGAAGAAAGAACAUAAAAAGUUUAAGGAAGCAAGAGAAUGAACUUGUAUCACUUUGCAAGAAAGGGCAUCAUUAUGCAGUUAACUGGAUUUUAUUAUGAAGCAAAAAAAGAAUAUCAAAAUUCAUUUGACUGAAUUAUAUUAUGAAGCAAGAAAUGAAUAUCGAAGUGCAGUGGACAGGAAUUUAUGAAGAAAGGAAGAGACAUCCAUGAAACAAGGAAAGAUCAUUUAAAUGUUGUGAUUUAUAUGGUAUCAGGACAGGAAAAACAACAAGUAUGAUUGACUGGAUUUUCUCAGGAAGAAAAGAAAGAAAAUAAGGAAGGAAUGUUAAAGUUCAAUUGAUUAAUUUUAUUAUGGAGAAAGGAAGAAACAAUAAAGUGCAAUCAACUUAAAUUUUAUUUGAGUGCAGUGGACGGACUAGAUUUUCUCAGAAUUUAGAGAGGAUAUUCUAAUGUUAGUGUGACCCAUAAAAGUUAAUGUAUUCAUUUAUAGUGUUUAAUGUGAAGAAAUAACAGAAAAAUGAUCAUUUUUAGAAUUGAUACUUUUGUGGGGGUGGGAAUCUCUGUCCUGUCUAUACCAUUUAUUCCAAUUCAUCCUAUCCUAUUCCAGCUUAACCCUGCCCAUCCCAUUCCUGAUUGGUUACCCAGAUAUGAUUGUAUAAAUAAUACACAAUAUAGCAUACUUGAACUAAAAUAUUAAUGUGGAGCAUGGCCAAAAAAUAAGCAGAGAAAAGAUGUGUAUAAAUCAAUUUAAUAUGAAAUAUGUUAGUGUGAAAUCAUGUCUUAUCCAAUUGACACUUUCUAUAGUCACACAUUAUAUAAAGUGUUAAUAGUGCACUUCUUUAUAAGUAGAUAUAUGUAUAUGAUAGAAAAGGUUGAAAAAACAUAUUUUUCAAGACAUUCAUAAUUUAUUAUGGAUAGAAACUAUUAUCUGAAGGGGAAUAAUUAUUUAAUUUGGAACCAUCUUGUACAGUUUUCAGAAGUUACAUUCCAACGAUAUUUUGAAAAGUCUGGAAAUUGUUUGAAAGGUAAUAUGUUUUCUGCUUGGUACAUAUAUAUGCAGAAUUACAGAAGUAAUUUAUAUUUCUUGUUGCCAUGCUUAUUUACAGUACUUACAUCAGUUCAUUUUUUCUUCUGUUUGAGCUGCAAUUUGAUGCAGGAAAAUGGUGUCAAGUGUCAGGGCAAGCCAAAGAAGCAGUACUGGAUUCCCCCUGGAAAAGUAUGAAGAAUGUAUGUGAAAAAGUGACUGUGUUCAUUUGUAGUAUUUAAAGUGAAGAAAGAACAUAAAAAUUUUAAUCACUGGAAUUGAUACUUUUUGUGGGGGUGGGAAUCUGUGUCCUUUGUAGUCCAGUUCUUGCCCAUCAGUCCUAACCCCAUUUCAUCUUGACCGGGCCCAUUCCAUUCCUGAUUUGUAAUCCAGAUAUGAAUGUUCAAAUAAUAUAUAUCAUUUGAAUUAAAAUAUUAAUAUAGAGCAUGGCCACAAAAUAAGCAGAGAUGUAUAUAGAUGAAUUUAAUAUGAAAUAUUUUAGUAUGAAAAUAUGUCUUAUGCAUGGAAUUGACACAUACAAUAGUAACACUUAUAAGAAUUGAUAAAAGUACACUUCUUUGUAAGUAAAUAUAUGUAUAUGAUAGAAAAGGUUGAAAACAUGAGUUUUUGGAGACGUUUAUAAUAUUGUUAUGGAUUCAGUUUAUUAUCUUAUAUGGAAAUAGAGAACAGUGAAAACUUCGCAGGUCGCUCAACACGACAAAAAUGAAAAAAUGUUGCAGGCUAGGUUUGAUUUAGCCUGUUCAUGGACGGUAGUGGAAAUGCAUGCUACCGUCCAUGCCCUCUAGCCCCCGGGUUGAGCAGAACUCAAAAUUUAUACAUGCUAAAAGUGCAAAAAGCAAUAAUUAUUGAAUCUGGAACCACUCUUGUGUACCGGUAAAGUAUGGGAACAAAAUAGAGCAGAGAAUGGAUUUGUAUAAAUGAAUUCAAUAUGAAAUAAUUGUUCAUGUGAAAAUAUGUCUUAUGAAUGCAAUGAACAUUUGCUAUAGUUAAACUUGAUUAGAAGUGGUAAAAGUACAUUUCUUUGUAAAAAUGUAUAUAUGAUAGAAAAGAUCAAUAGACUGCCAAUGACAACUGACUAUGUAUAGUCAGCGAUUGAUUGGACUUUUUAUGAAGCAGAAAAGGAAUAUAAAAGUGCAAUAGAAAGGAUUUAAUAUGAAACAAGGAAAGAUAAUCUAAAUGUUAUAAAAAGUGACAUAAUUAAAAAUGUUAAUUAUUUGAAUUAAUACUUUUGUGGGGGUGGGAAUCUCUGUCCAGUCUAUACCAUUUAUUCCAAUUCAUCCUAUCCAAUUCCAACUUGACCCUGCCCAUCCCAUUUCUGAUUGGUUACCCAGAUAUGAUUGUAUAAAUAAUACAUGAUAUAGCAUACUUGAAAUAAAAUAUUAAUGUGGAGCAUGGCCAAAAAAUAAGCAGAGAAAAGAUGUGUAUAAAUCAAUUUAAUAUGAAAUAUGUUAGUGUAAAAAUCAUGUCUUAUCCAUCCAAUUGACAAAAUUCUAUAUUCACAUGUUAUAUGAAGUGUUAAUAGUACACUUCUUUAUAAGUAGAUGUAUGUAUAUGAUAGAAAAGCUUGAAAACAUGAAUUUUUUGAGACAUUUUUAAUAUUAUUAUAAAUAGUUAAUUAUCUGAAGUGGAAUAGUUAUUCAGUCUGGAACCACACUUGUACAGUUUUCAGAAGUUACACUCCAACAAUAUUUUGAAAAGUCUGGAAAAAGAAUUGUUUGAAAGGUAAUAUGUUAUUCUACUUGGAACAUAAUAUGCAGAAUUACAGAAGUAAUUUAUAUUUCUUGUUGCCAUGCUUAUUUACAGUACUUAUACCAGUUCAUUUUUUUCUUCAGUUUGAGCUGCAAGUUGAAGCAGGAAAAUGGUGUCAAGGCAAGCCAAAGAAGCAGUACUGGAUUUCCCCCAGAAAAUUUGAGCUGCAAGUUGAAGCAGGAAAACGGUGUCCAGCGUCAAGGCAAGCCAAAAUAGCAGUACUGGAUUUUCCCAAGAAAAUUUGAGCUGCAAGUUGAAGCAGGAAAAUGGUGUCCAGCAUCAAGGCAAGCCAAAAUAGCAGUACUGGAUUUUCCCUAGAAAAUCAUAUUUGCUGACCAUUGUUGAAGCUGUGGAUUUUCCCUGGAAAAGAAUGAAGAAUGUUUUCAAGAAGAGACUGUAUUCAUUUGUAGUGUUUGAAGUGACGAAAGAAUAACAAAUUGAGACAGAAGACAAAAGAUGUUGAAUGGGACAGCUGUAAAUCCUGGAAAUUUAAUUAGCAGGCUACCAGACCGAUUUCCAAACCAAAUGAUAGGCACUGGUAUGUAUUGUUGUUUAUAAUUAUACUUGUAGUGUUGUUUAUAAAAGGUUUCAUUGAUAUGUUGACCUGUUCAACACAGGUAAUGUCAACUUCUCCACUCAUAUUAGAGGUGGAGGAUGAUUGAUUUAGACUUUAGUUUACCAGGAUUUUAUUAAUAUAUUCCAUGUAACUUUUACCAUGAUUUUAGGUGCCUAAGUUCCAAAAGAUUAACACUCUUAUUAGCAGAAACACCCAUAGAUGAAGAAUCAGAAGGCUUAAUCAACGGAUGGUGAAAAUUAUCACAUGCUGUAAGAAAAAUGCCAGCUGGAAAGAUAUAAUCCCUCACACCACCAGCACCAACUCAGACAGAUGGUAUCUCAACAUAUAGUAGAUUCACGGUGAUACAUCGUAGAGCAGAUACAGCUGGUCCGAUCAUACAAGAAUGUUGAGUUGAUUGACAAUGAGGAGCGGUUACAUGACAUGAAAGUACAGCUGACCACAGUGCAGGGUAACCACAAGGAAUCUAUGGAACAGCUUGGGGACAAGUCCCAGCAAGUGGCCAUGCUGGGGACUGAGGUCUCUCGAACACAGCAACAGAACCAGGCAAUGUCUGAAGAUGUUGAUUGUGAAGGAAGUUCAACAACUUAUAGUAAUCACUCUAGACACCUCAUUCCUGAUGGAAUCCAUUGCCACGAAAGUAUGAGAGAAGAGGCCAGUUUCUGCCCUUUUAAUGCUGAGCUCCAUGUAAGGGAGCCACUGGUACCAUUUUUCACGUCUUUGGUAUGACGCGGCCAAGGAUCGAACCCACAACCUCCCGCACUCGAAGCGGACGCUCUACCACUAGGCUAUUGAGGCGGUUGUUGUUUACUGUUACAGUUGAGCAGUACAUCAGUUGAAGCAAGAAUUAAAGAAGAUGUAAGACAUCAACCAAGUCUCUGAGAGUGAGGUAAAACCAUUUGUUGUCAUUAAGGAUUUUUCCAAUUCUACAUUGACAUUGCGUCAUAUUAGGUUUUGAGUUUAACAUUUUACUUCCUUCAUUAAUGUUUAGAUAAAUUGUAAUUGAGUUCUUGUUGUCAGUUCAGUAAUUUGUAUUUCUGAUUUGUUUAUUAUUUAGUUAGUCCUAUUUCUAUUAGCUAUGCAGCUGUAGUAGUUGCACUGUCAGUUACUUACGUAAAGUUAGAAAUACUUCAUGUCCCAACUGUAACAUUUAAGUUUUUCAAGGUGUUGCUAUGAAACUUCACUUGUUAAGUAUAAGAAGAUGUAUCUCACCCAGUUUGAGUAUUUACCUCCAAUUUCAGGGUCACAGGCUUCGAUCCUAAUUCAAAGAUAAUGGCACUCCAUUUCAGUGUUAUUUUGUCACUUAUUUAAUAACAUCACUUGUAAAUUAUUCAUGAUUAUUUGAAAUAUUGAAUUUUAGCUGCAGAAUUUCGAGAUGAAGUACAAUGACCUGCAACAGAAAGCGAUCACGUCCCAGGACAGGAACCGAGCCCGCCCGCUUAGCUCAAUAGGAAGAGCGUUGGAAUACGGAUCGCGGGGUCGCAAGUUCGAUCCUUGGGCGGGGCAUUUGUUCUCCGUGAUGAUUUGAUAAAAGACAUUGUGUCUGAAAUCAUUCGUCCUUCACCUCUGAUAAUUCAUGUGGGGAAGUUGGCAGUUACUUGCAGAGAACAGGUUUGUACUGGUACAGAAUCCAGGAACACUGGUUAGGUUAACUGCCCGCUGUUACAUAACUGUAAUACAGUUGAAAAAUGGCGUUAAACCCAAAACAAACAAACAGGACAGGAACCGCCAAGGUCUUCAGGAGCCCUCUGCAAAGGAGGAAGAAUUAGUUGUUGUUAAUGUGGAACUCAGUGCCUUACAAGAAAAAUACAAAAUCCAAGUGUAAUGAUACGAGUAUUAUAGUAACAGUCGACAUCGUACUUGUGACCACCUCUAUUAAGCGAUUUUUGUAUUAAACGACCAGUCAAAAUCCCUCCCGAACGUUUUCAGUAUAUAAAUUCAUUCCAUUAAACGACCUUUUUAUUAAACGACUAGCGACCACAUUCAUAUAGUCCCGACAGGUAAAAUAUUCGACAAAAGUAUCUAUUUAGCGACCGGGUACCAAAAUUCUACCAGGCAUUUCUUCAUCUGUGUAAAUAGCGAGUAUGUUUUGCAAGUGACUGAAUGCAAUUAACCUUUGUAUCAGCCAAACUGACAAACAAUGUAGCCAUAAUUUUCACGAUUUGUGGACUUGGACAAGUGUUCAUGAUGAUAAAACAGAUUUUGAAAUCAUACAUGUAUGUUCAUAAUAAAUACAGUUGCAUUAACAGUUAAAAAUAACUUUCCUUUUCAUCUGACUGAAAUUGAUUAAGAGAUCAUUCCAUCAAGAGACCACUUCUUAGCAGUCCCUUGGGUGGUCUCUUAAUACAAUGUCGACUAUAUUUUUUCUAUACAAGAUCUAUUGAGUUAUAACUUUAAAACAGUAUUUUCUGAAUUUUGAAAAUGAACAUGUAUAUAGAGUUGUUACAUAUCAGUUCUGUAAACAUUUGUAACUUCAGCUGCUCAUAACUUCUUCCUUAUCCUACAAACUGCCAGAAAAGUAACAUUUCUUGAAGCAUGAUAAGUUAGAUGCUUACAUACUUAUACCAGAAAAUACAAAACUGUGUAUUUGAAAAGAGCAGUGUGUGAAAAUAUAUUUGUAUGAAUGACUACCAGGUAUAGAAAAAGGAUUUCUGAAUGAAAGGAAAACUACCCUGGUAGUGUACUGUAAAAUCAUUUAUUUUCAUGGACAUGAAAUUUUGUGGUUUUGGUCAAAACAGCAAUUUCAGGGGGAUAUGAAUUAGUGGAUUUCAACUUUUUAACAAAUUGAAUUGGAAUUUUGCUUGUUCCUUGGUAUUAAAUUUUAUGGAUUGACUCGACCACAAAUCCAUGAAAAUUAGUCACCCACAAAUAUUAAUGAUUACCCAGUAUUCAUUUUCUGAUUGAUAGAAGUGUCAAUCUUUUAAUGAUAAAAUGGUAAAUGGGUUUAGAUUAAUAUUUGUGCCACGCCAUGUGAAAACUAACAUAGUGGCUUUGCGACCAGCAUGGAUACAAACCAGCCUGUGCAUCUGCUGUUUGCUUAUGGUUUCUCUAAUUGCAAUAGGCUUUGAAAGCAAACAGCAGGCUGGUCAGGAUCCAUGCUGGUUGCAAAGUCACUAUGUUGGUUUCCCUUGGCAUGGCUCAUUUGUCUCUGAAAUUAUAUAAUUGUAGUCUGAGAAGUUUUUGUCAGAACUUGAAUUGUUGAGACAUAAUUACCACAGUGCAAAUGAGGAGAUAAAGGGAUUGAGAAUGACCCUGGAAGAGUCAAGAACCAAUGGGGACAGACUGCACAAAGAGAGUGAACUGAACACCUGGGUACAGGAACAAAAACAUGCCAAUGAGGAAUUUGGGAGUAAAGUAAAGCCAUCAUGCAGCUCAAGCUGUAAAAGAACAAAUGUUGGAACAGAUCAGCAAGUAUCAGAAACAAAACAACAAGAUAAAAAUUGAGCUGGACAAGAGACAUAACGAAGCAGAGAGAUUUAAAGCUCUACAGAACCAAAGCUCACACCAACAAGUUUUCCUCAACCAGCUCAGGUCCAGGCUAGAGGAACAUUAAAUGGAACAAGAUCAGGAAAUGUCGAGCAAGAUGGCUACUAUAGAGGAUCUUCAUAACCAACUCAAACUCAACAUUGACAAUAUACAGCAGCUUAAUAGUCAGUUAAAUUCUUUACAAAAAGACAACCACAGAUAACAAAGUUAUUUGGAAUGUGAGAUUGGUAUCCGGCAGACCCUUGAAAUACAGAUCGAGAGUAAAGAACAGACUAUUAAUAGCCUCAAAACCCGACUUGAGGCCGAGAAACAUCUUAUUGAACACAGCUCUCCAUUGAAGGAUCCUCAUUGUGCUAAGAUGGUAAAGGUAGAGGAGACAAAUGAUGGUGCAAGAAGUAGAAAUAUCACAAGUUAACAGUCAAUAAGAGUAAUGUGGAUGAAGAUAUUGACUCCAGGCAGUAACUCGGCAUUUCCUGAGCUUUCAAAAUACAUCAAAGAAAGGCAGGUUCAUAGAGCUGAUGCAGAAUCACCCAGUCAUGCUUAAACCAGAAGUUGAAUAGGCCAUGAAAAGGAGGUUGAUGUUGGGAUAUUGCCAGAUGCAGUUCCUUGUGGCAACUUCAAACUUACAGUACUAUAGGAGGGGGCAACAAUUACCACUAUUAACCUAGAAACCAGUGACCUAAUUUGAAAUUGGAAUAUGCCACAAACAUCCCACAAAAAGCUGCAUAAUACACAAAUUGCUGUAACAUAGAUAUCUGUGUCAUGACUAAAAGGAAAUUUCACCAGCAGCACAAAGGAUCACUGGGAUUGCAUGGAAGAUUCAGACACUAUGACUGUAAAAAGCACAAUAGUCCAACACAUGGUUCUCAGUCCGUAGUAGAGAAAUUGUAUAUUUGGCUUGAAAAGAUCCUAAAGUGAUUUUCCAAAAUGGAAGACAGUUAACUUUGAUUUUCCAGUUCUUGUCUCUCUUGACCAAAACCACGAAAUUUCAUGCCCACGAAAUAAAAUGAUUUCACAGUAUUAGAAGAGCAUUUUUCAAGCAAUGACUACAAUAUGAAGUAAAAUUAUAGCUUUUUGUUUAAAAUGUGAAAAUGCUAUCCUUUAAUACUCGUGACAAAUUUGGUACCAAAAUUUUCAUUAUCUUGAGUAGAAAAUAAUAUGAUUGGAAAUUCAAAUUGUGUUAUGUAACUCUAUACAUGUACUAGUAAUUCUUUAAUACAAUGUCAUUUUUUUUUCUACAAUUCUUUAUCUUUGUACAGUGGUUACAAAUUUUAAAGGUGGUCAGUCACAUUUAAACAACAUUUAAUGACAUAUUUUACUUUUUGUAUAUUCUGGUAGAGAAUUAUUUAAGGAACAAAAAGACUGAUUACAUGGAGUUAGAUUCCUAUUUGAAAUGUAUAUUUUAUUAUUUUUAUAAAAUUUUGUAAUUACUCCCCUUUAAUAUGAAAGUAAAUAAAAAGCUGGGUAUUUCUUUUUAUUUCGAUACAAUGUCUAGUUUUACAUUUGCAUUUGAUAGACAUAUCAACUAUUGAACAAUUUGAACCAAAAUGCAAGUUUUAAAGCUGUGUGUAGCUUCUGAAUUCAUUUAUUUCCAAUCUAUCUUGGUUGCGCAACCAAGAUAGGCAAAGGGAGGUAAUAAUAAGUUUUCAAACUUGCGUUUCUAAUGAAUUCCAUCUAAAUACAUAAUUUUUAAUGCAAAUAUUUUACAAAUAUAUUACAAUAUAUCUAAUAUUUAUACAUUUCCUUAGGCAAAGUAUGUUUAUCAAAUUUAUACUUAUGAUAAAAUAACUCUAUCUUGGUUGGGCAACCAGGAUAGGAAAAUGAAAUUUUAAAAAUACCUCCAGUGAAAAUCUAAUUUGUAUUAAGUGUUAAGUGAACAUAAAUGAGUGUAAAUGAUCAGAUGCUAAAGUUUCGAACAAAUCCGUUAAAUGGCCAAAAUCUGAUUAUCCACCUUUAAAACAGUUGAAAAAUAGAUUACAAGUGACUCAAAACAAAGUUGUCAGGUUUAUUUGUGGUUAUAAUUAUCAAAGAUACUGAAAAGUUGCAGUUUUUUAUACUGGCUGGCUAAAUAUUGAAAACAGAGUUAAACAUUUAAGACUGAAUCAUGUUCACAAAAUCUUUGAAAAAGUUGUCCAGCUUAUUUGCAUAAUAAUUUCUCUCUUGCCUCUAACAAAGUCUUAUAAUUGUAGACAUAGUAUGAACAGAUUUCAUGUACCUCAUUUUCACUUCUACUACUUUAUAUUAUCAAGCUAUCAAUUAGGCGUAAAUUUUUGUUGUUUUUUUUCUGGUAUCCCGACCUACCCUAAAUUUUUGGCCUGGCCCUAAAUGUUUUUAUUGCCUUGGAGAACAUUUUUUUUCAAUUUUUUGACAAAAAGUUGCAAAACUGCACUUUUUAUGCUUUAAACAUGGUCAUUGAUGUUAUAAAUCAACUUACUGAUGCUCUAGAGGCAUAACCCCCUAUUUGUAUUCAUUUUUUGACACAAAAUUAAUUUCCGAAGUCUUCCUUAAUAAAAAAAAUAAAAUCCCCCCAAAAAAGUUUUUCAAACCUACCUACCCUAAUUUUUUUGAGCAUGUUCCCGGAAACAAAGAAUUUUUUUUUAGGCCUUACUUAAAAAGAAAACAGUCAAAAUGGAGCUCAUUUUAUGAAUGAAAAUUUCUAAGUAAUCAGAUUUUAUUUUUUAUUAAUUGUAUCAUAUUGUUUUAUAAUAAGACUUAUUAGUGUGCAAUAUUCCUGCUUUGUGCUGUGAUAAGAAUGUCAUAAUAGAAUGUAACUUAGACUAGCUCCUAGACUAUGAUAUAUCUUUUUACAUUUUUAUGAUUGAAUGUAGUGAACUUAGCCAGUCUAUAUCCUAUGUCCAAUAUAAUAAUGAUAAUUUCAACAUCAGUCCUGCAUGAAAUUUCUAAAAUAGACUGGUUUUUGUCUCUAUGAAAUAGAAUUCGUCAAAAAAGGAAAAAAUAUAGAAAUACAGUUAUUAUCAGUCUAGUGGCUAGUCUAAAUGUAACUGUUAUAUUUGUUAGGUAACUCUUGUACAGCUUAUCAUUUAUACCAGUGACAGUUGUCACUCCUGAUGAUGUACACAAGGACCUCUGUUAGAUUUUUAGCUCAUGUGAGCACAAAGUGCUCAAGGUGAGCUUUUGUGAUCACCCUGUGUCCGUCCUCAUCUGUCCGUCCGUUUGUCAGUCAUCAACAAUUUGACUGUUAACACUCUAGAAGUCACAAUUUUGACCUAAUCUUAAUAAAACUUGGUCAGAAUGUUACCCGCAAUAAAAUCUUGGAUGAGUUCGAUAUUGGGUCAUCUGGGAUAAAAAAACUAGGUCACCAGGUCAGAUCAAAGGAAAAGCUUGUUAACACUCUAGAGGUCACACUUUUGGCCCAAUCUUAAUAAAACUUGGUCAGAAUGGUAUCCUCAAUAAAAUCUUGGAUGAGUUCGAUAUUAAGUCAUCUGGGAUAAAAAAAUUAGGUCAACAGGUUAAGUCAAAGGAAAAGCUUGUUAACACUUUAGAGGUCACAAUUUUGGCCCAAUCUUAAUGAAACUUGGUCAGAAUGUUACACUCAAUAAAAUCUUGGACGAGUUCGAUAUUGGGUCAUCUUGGGUCAAAAACUAGGUCACCAGGUCAAAUCAAAGGAAAAGCUUGUUAACACUCUAGAGGUCACAAUUUUGGCCCAAUCUUAAUGAAACUUGUUCAGAAAUUUACCCUAAAUAAAAUCUUGAACAAGUUCGAUAUUGGGUCAUCUGGGGUCAAAAACUAGGUCACCAGGUCAGAUCAAAGGAAAUGCUUGUUAACACUAAAGAGGUCACAAUUUUGGUCCAGUCUUAAUGAAACUUGGUCAGAAUGUUACCCUCAAUAAAAUCUUGGACAGUUUGAUAUUGGAUCAUCUAGGGUAAAAAACUAGGUCACCAGGUUAAAAGGAAAAGCUUGUAAACACUGUAGAGGUCACAUUUAUGACUAUAUCUUCAUGAAGCUUGGUCAGAAUGUUAUGCUUGAUAAUCUCAAGGUCCAGUUUGAAUCUGGGUCAUGUAGGGUCAAAAACUAGGUCACUAGGUCAAAUCAAAGGAAAAGCAAGUUAACACUCUAGAGGCCACAUUUAUGACCAUAUAUAUAAUUAGGAACAGACUUUAUGCCAAAUAUUAAAGCUUUCUUUUGCAGUCAGUGCAAGAUUUUUGAUUUGUUGGACAAGAAAUUUUUAUCUUAGCUCUAGAAGUACAGCCAUCAUUAGAAAUAAAAUGUAAUGAUACGAAAUUACCUUACUUUGACCAUGUUGAAGAAAAAAAUCCGAGCAUGUAAGAUAGAUUCACCAUGGCAGAUAUGUAAAAUUAAUGUGAUGAGCAGGAUAGUGGCUGCAAUAAAAUGUUGUUGUUGUGGUCUGUGUCUAGGGAGGUAGGGGGCAUAAAAAAAGAGUAUAAUAUAGGAUGAAUUUCGUGCUCUAUAAUAAUUUUAUUUCAUUAAUUACUAGAUCUAGGUAUUUCUUAAUUAAUUUUCAUUACAUAGUGAGUAAUGCUUCAGUAAAUUUGGUUAAUUGAAGUGACAUUGAUAGAGUACAAUUGUAUUUUAAGAAUUGCCAUGUUAAAGGUGUCAGGCAAUGAAAAGGUGUCAGUAUGUAGUUUUCAGCCACUGUAAUCUUCGUUUAACGAACUGAAAGGAAAUAUCAGCCAUUGUUGCUACAACAUACCUAUAUAUAUAUUUUUUACAAACAAUACAUUUUCAGGGACUUUGGGGGCUUUGUCUCACUCUGUCCUCUAGUCAGAUCGCUCCGUGUCUGUACUAGUAGAGGAUGAAUUAUGCGCCCUGUGUGGCUGCAUUUGAACUAUGUAAAGCGCCUUUGAACGUGAAAUUGGUCAUGAAAAGGGCGCUAUAUAAAUCUGGUAUAAUAAUAAUAAUAAUGACAUCCUUGCAUAGCUUUUCUUCCAUGUGCAGACUCUGAAUCUGUUGUAAUGUGUAUGUAAUACUUAUACUAAGAGAUUAAAGAAAGCUCUCUGCCAAUGGUUUAUUGCCUCAACAUUCAAUACCUUCAGUGAUAGCUCUAGUUUAUUUUGUUAAUGCUUAUAGCCAGGUUGGUUUAAACAAAAUUCAUGAGCAACAGAGUACAGGUUAAGAGAGAAAAGCUAUUACUUAUUGCAUUUAGUAAAUAUUCCUAUGUUAGGGAUAUGGUAGGAUAAGGCAAAAAGAAAAAAACUGGCUAUUGGUUUCAGAAAACUGCCAUAUCACCACAUUUUAAGGAUUGUUUUGGCCAUGUAUUUUUGGACUAAAUUUCAGUAGAUAGGGAUGGUAAGGUGGCAUAAGGUUUUUAUUACUGCCACUGUUUGUGUGAAUGGGCAUUGUAUGAUUGUGUUUAAGUCAGCCCUCAUCACAUAAUAAGGUAACAGGUAUUGUCAUAUCAUUGUACGUGUGCAACAAUUGUAGCCAGGUUGUUCACAAAGUUUGGUGAAAAUCUAUCAUCAAGAGAGGGCGGCAUCUUGGGUCAUAUCAUUCUUACAUGUUGAUACAAUAUUAAAGUUUUUUUGACACUGCUUAAAUAUUAGGACUUUGAUACUGGUAACAUUAAAGCCAGUUAUGAAUAAACUGGUUAAGAAUAAAAUGAUAUUUCUUUGUGUUUCUUGUAUGCUUUAUAAUAUUUUGAUAAUCUUAGUUGUUAGGGAUAUGGUAGAAUAAUGCUAAGUGUUUAAUACUGGCUACAGGUUUUUCAUGAAAAGUACCAUAUCACCACAUUUCACUUAUAUAAGGGCAAUUUUGGCAACAUUUAUUCAUUCUUGGACUAAAUUUCAGAGAUAGGAAUAAUAUAGUUGUUGUAGAAAAUAGGAAAAUUAACAUCCAUUUUUUUAUUUUUGUAAGUUGUAUAUAAACAAAUAAAGUGUGUUUGAGCUGUGUGCAAGAAAUUUUGCUUGUCUUUCUGACUGCUGAUGAGAUACUUUUGCAAAAAGACUGCCAGAAAUUUUGGCUUUUUGGCUUGUAUAGAGACUGGCAGCUGACCUUGGACGUGUAGUAUACUUUUUAUAUUCUAGCCACUGUCAAACUUGACAGUCUUAAGGAUGCAAUACUACCAUGUCAUAGUGCUUGCACAAGAUAAUGCAGCAAGUUAAGCCAUUGAAGUUUGGAGAAAAUCCUCCAUUUACAAAGUUUACUGGCAAGUCAAAGAAUAACAUGAGUUUAGCUAUUACAUUUUUCAGCAUUUUACAGUUUAAACCAUUGUUGUUAAUUAUUGUGUUGUAUUAUUUAUCAUAUAAAAAUCAUUUUAUAGGUCUGUGGUAGAAUGGGUCAGUUAUUUAAUCAUAAUGAUAGUAACUGGCUACAGGUCUACAUGUAAAACUACCACUUCUUGCAUUUAAUAAUCUUAUGUUAGUGAUAUGGUAGGAUAAAGAAAGAAAUACUGGCAACUGGUUUCAGAAAACUACCAUAUCACAACAUUUCAAUGGAAGUUUUGGCCUCGCCGUGCUUUAAACAAUUUUUUUUUUUUCAACAGCUGCACGUGCCUGGAUUUUUGAACAUUUUUAUCUAAAUUUCAAGAAAUAGGGAUGACAUGGUAGAAUAAAGGUUAAUGUCAGUGGUUGAAUUUUUAUUAAAAUGUCAGUAUGUAGGUAAAUUUUGACAUGUUUCAAAUAUAAAGCAUCAUAGAACAAAUGGUAACUGAUUUUUUUAAUAACACUGUUAAAUAUAGUGAAUGAAUAUUUAGUGAAUGAAUGAUUGAAUUAUGGAGCAGAAAGGGUGGAUGAAUGUUGAAUGAAUUACCUUGUAAAACACAAUGAGUGAAUGGUGAAUUAAUUACCUUGUAAAACACAGUAUUUAAAUACUAAAUUCAAAAGUGCUUUUUUUUAAACAAUGGACAGACUGUAGUUAAAGUAGUGAUAUUGUAAAACAGUGGCAGGAUCAGAUUUUGUUGACACAGGAGUUACCAUUAAAAUUUGAUUUAAUUUACAAGUGGGUUUAUUUUGUAACAUACAUUGUGGAAAGUUCUUUUAGUAGCUUUAAUUAACACUGGCAAGGUCUUUUAGUGGGUUUAAUUUAUAAAAUACAGUGGCAAGGUAUUUCAGUGAGUUCAGUUUGUAACACAGUGGCUAUGACUUUUAGUGGGUUUAAUUUGUAAGAUACAGUGGCAAAGUCUUUUAAUGGGAUUAAGUUUCAAGGUCUUUAAGUGGAUUUAAGACUGUUUAGUCUGUAUAAGGGAUAUAACUGUGUUGAGUUUUCAUAUAUUUGCAUAUUCUGCCUGGCUAACUCUGUUAGUGGUAUUUAUCUUGGAAAUAUUUUUCUUUCUUUUUUUCGAAUAAUUGUAUAUUGUCAGUCUCAAGUUCUUUUCUUUCUCUUGCUAAAUUUUUUCAAGGCAAAUGUCAGAAUUCUAGAGUUAAGGCCAAUGAAUCAGUCAUUUUGACAUGCUUGUUCAAAGAUUAAUUUAAAAACUAGUUACUGUAAUUAAAAUGACAGAAAUGAAAUUUAUAAUAAUUGUGCCUCUAGACUUAAGGCUCUGCACAUUUGAGAUAUUCUUUAAUUUAUCUUAAUUUAUACUGCAUUAAAAUUUUGUUAUAACAAAAGAAAGUUCCAAUAAAAGUCUGCUCUUAAGAAUGUCUGCCCAUCUUUCCAUUUAUCUGUCCUGUCUGGAGCCAUAACUUAAGGAAGUGAUUUGGAAUAUUUUAAUGAAACUUCAUAUACAUAAUCACUACUACAAGGAAAUGCAGCAUGUGAAGUUGAUUGCUUAAUUAUAAGUAACACCAGAGUUAUGGCCCUUAGUUUCUAGAGUUAACUAAAUAAGGUACUAUAAUAAUGGCAAUUUCUGUUUUAUGAUUUGUGACAUAUUUGACCUAAAACUAUGUAACUUGAUUAAAUUGUGGAAGUGCACUAUCAAUUACAUAAGGAUCUCUCUAGUAUCUAGCCAUUGCCCUUUAGUCACAAUUUUGUACCUAAUUAUGUAAAGCAAUAAUAAAAUAAAUGGUAGAAUUUUUCUAAACUUUUCUUUUUUCCAUGAACGUUUAUUAUCCACAAGUGAAGUUGUGUAUCCACACUCAAUCACCUUCACUGCUCUGGUCACACCCUGUCCCCCCACCCACUUAGUUAUUAUGUGAGUUAUAUAGGAAAAAAUACUUUACUUUUUAGGUGAGCGAUCCAGGGUCAUCAUGACCCUCUUUGUUCGAGUUAUCCUGUGGAAUAUGUAUAUCUCUAAAUUUAUGUAUGUUAAAGAGGAUUAGGUUGGGUGUUUUUUAAAAAGUUAGAGAUAUAACAUGCAGCUAUUUCUGUGAUACAGUUGAAUGUUUGCUUGUAUUGGGAGUUGUUCCUAAAGCCUUGCUCCAUGGCUACCGGUAUUCAAUUUCUUUUGUGUGUAUGCAACCCAUGAUUACAAAUUAAGCAGGCAAAACCAUAUAGAAUUUAAUAUAAAAUAGACUCUAUUUUGACAGGCGUCACUGUACAUAUCAGGAUUUUCAUGCUUUUUCAGUGACAAUUCAAGGUUAAAAGGUAGGACUGGAGCAGGGCUUUAAUGUGAUGUUUGUAUCUGAUAUAUAUAUUAACGAAUAAAUUUAUCUAACUAAUAAAAUUGAAUUGAAUUGAAUACAGCUGGGUGAAAAACUACAGUACAGCUUGCUUAAAGGACCACCAAUGGGAGGGCAAAAGCAUUUGUUCUUUGAUAACAUAAAAAAGGAACCGAAAAAGUGGUCUCUUAAUGGCAGGUAGACUCUAAAUAGAAGUGGCCUUUUGAGCAAGUUGGACUUAAUUUGAAAUAUCCAUGUAGAAUUCUUCAAUGUGAGGAACUCCUCUACCUGGUUUAUGAAAGUUGGAUGGUUCUACCCAGGUCGGACUCCUGCACUUACAUUAAAUUGUAAUGAAUGUCCCUAUCUUUUUAUAUUCUGGUUUGAAACUUUUAAGAAGUAAAAUCAAAUAACUUUGUACUUAUGAAACUUGUUAUAAUUUACGCUCUUGUGAUGCAAAUAUUGUCUUUUGUUUUAUCUAUGUUGAUUUCUCUAAAUAAACUUUAAACAUUA